AGGUAAAAUGGAACAAAGAGAAUCAAAAUGAGAUACGGAUUUAGGGUUUUAGUCUCUCAAUAUUCUAUUUCGUUUCUUCCCUCAAGUAAGCUUUCUCUUUGAAACGUUGAACCACCCAAGAUCUUUCAGUUCUCAAACUUCCAGAUUCAGACAGCCAAACACUCACCAAUAAAGAUGGAACACAACAGUUACCUCAGAAAACAAAACUAAAACAAGAGUUUCUAUCACAAUUCUUUUUCAAAGAGAACAAGUACCGCGAGUAAGCUGUGUAUGUCUUCAUCUUUCUCUGCUUUUUCAAGUGUAAGCCAGCUAAAUUUGAAAUUGGAACUCCUCCAUGUGUACAGGGGAACAACAAAAACUUGUGUGCAGAAUAUAGACCAGUAGCGCGUGAAGGGCUUCAACUUAUUUUGUUAAAUACCUUUCUCUGAAUGUAUCAUGACCAAGUUAAAUUAAGAUAAUCUGCUAUACAGAAUCUCCAACCUUGAUAUCAGACUUGAGCAGAUGUUGAACUUCUCAAAGCUGCUUCACGUUCCUGACGCCGAUGCUCUCUUCUUCUUUCCCAAUAUGGAUGGAAGCAUACGAAGUCAUAGACAGGAGUUAUAGUUGAGACCAGAACAACGUUAAGUCCAGUAAACAGCAGGAGACCUGCCAUAGGCCGAGCUCUGUGAGGCAUUGCGGAUAAAUGAUGAUUUUGAACUCUGCAAGACACAAGACCACAUUCAGUAUACAAAACUGAA
rnacentral:misc_RNA from 1 species